GAUGAACGCUGGCGGCGUGCCUAAUACAUGCAAGUCGAACGCGCAGCGAAAGGUGCUUGCACCUUUCAAGUGAGUGGCGAACGGGUGAGUAACACGUGGAUAACCUGCCUCAAGGCUGGGGAUAACAUUUGGAAACAGAUGCUAAUACCGAAUAAAACUUAGUAUCGCAUGAUACAAAGUUAAAAGGCGCUACGGCGUCACCUAGAGAUGGAUCCGCGGUGCAUUAGUUAGUUGGUGGGGUAAAGGCUUACCAAGACGAUGAUGCAUAGCCGAGUUGAGAGACUGAUCGGCCACAUUGGGACUGAGACACGGCCCAAACUCCUACGGGAGGCUGCAGUAGGGAAUCUUCCACAAUGGGCGCAAGCCUGAUGGAGCAACGCCGCGUGUGUGAUGAAGGCCUUCGGGUCGUAAAGCACUGUUGUAUGGGAAGAAGUGCUAAAAUAGGGAAUGAUUUUAGUUUGACGGUACCAUACCAGAAAGGGACGGCUAAAUACGUGCCAGCCGCCGCAGUAA
rnacentral:rRNA from 1 species